UUGUUAGUAGGAAGCAAUGACACGAAUGUGAUAUUGGUCGCUUUUCUGGAAUUCCAGAAGCAUUCGUCGAGCUAAGUAGCGAAACCGGCCUAAUUUUUA
rnacentral:ncRNA from 20 species